AAAGACUGGAUGGGGCACUUGGUGCCAUGGUCUAGUUGACUGGAUAGGUCUGGGUGCUAGGUUGGAGUGGCUGAUCUUGGAGGUCUCUUCCAACCUGGUUGAUUCUGUGACUAUCAGUAAAAUAUGAGUUUAAAAAAACCAAUCAAACAAUGGGAAAGGAUGAGGAAGCAGAAUUAUCCCUCACUGACUUUUAAAACACUGUGGAAGCUAAAAGGUAAAUUUAGAUAGCACAGACAUAAUGACCAUCUCAAUACUAGGGGGAGAAGUUUUUUUUUUCUCUGGUCUUGGUGAUUCCACACUACUAGGGGACAGUGGGAGAGAGUCAUGGGGAGUUUUAUCCUUUCAGUUAUAGGUGACUCUUGGAGUUAUUCCCCCACUUUGUCCCACAGAUGCCCAGAAGCAUUGUACAUCAUCUUCUGAGAUUGCUUGUGCGGUUCCUCCAGAAAGGAUUGAUUAGUAACUGAGAAGCUUGUUCACACACAGGAGAAAGUCAACUGAUAAACAACUGCUCAAUUCUUAGAUGAAGAUCUAAGGAGACAGCCUAAACCUUCUAGAUAAGUUUAGUUGUUUAGUAUAAAUUGCAACCCUUUUCUCAGUGCUGCUUUGUACAGACUGUCCUGAGGUUUUCCCUCUGGGUCUCAGGAAGAAUGACUGUAUAAGCAGAUAGGAGCUUAACCAGAAAUAUUCUGAUCAGCUUGAAUGGAAUGGUUGAAAGGAACCUAUGAUGAUCACCUAAUGCAACUGCUGUGCAGUCUGAUAGAACAGACCAUGUGUACUCUUCAGAUUCAGAAGGGUGAAAUGAGCUAACCUCACUCUGCACAAAGUUUCUCCUCACAGCAUUGCAGGCCCUGACCUUGCUCUCUGUGUCCACAGAGAGCUACAGUCAAUAGGAAGUUAUUGUGCCCUCCUAGAGAGACGUUCAUCCUUGUCCCUUUCAGCCUUAUUCACCUUAACAUCCCUAGGGAGUCCUCAGAACAAUGGAGGGGUUUAUUAACGAUGUUUGCAUACAGAAGCUUAUGCAGUGUUAGCAGCAAGGGCAGAGACCUACAGAGUGCAAAGCUCUCUCAGCUCUUGGUGAUUGCUAAAGGUGUGAGAGACAGCACCUUGUAGCAGAGAGCCUUGAGCAAGUCUCUCAUUUGUUAACAGGUUUCAGCUAA